rnacentral:rRNA from 1 species
UACGUAGGGUCCGAGCGUUGUCCGGAAUUAUUGGGCGUAAAGGGCUCGUAGGCGGUUCGUCGCGUCGGGAGUGAAAACUCGGAGCUCAACUCCGAGCCUGCUUUCGAUACGGGCAGACUAGAGGUAUGCAGGGGAGAACGGAAUUCCUGGUGUAGUGGUGAAAUGCGCAGAUAUCAGGAGGAACACCGGUGGCGAAGGCGGUUCUCUGGGCAUGAUCUGACGCUGAGGAGCGAAAGUGUGGGGAGCGAACAGG